AACAGGAUUAGAUACCCUGGUAGUCCACGCUGUAAACGAUGUCGACUUGGAGGUUGUGCCCUUGAGGCGUGGCUUCCGGAGCUAACGCGUUAAGUCGACCGCCUGGGGAGUACGGCCGCAAGGUUAAAACUCAAAUGAAUUGACGGGGGCCCGCACAAGCGGUGGAGCAUGUGGUUUAAUUCGAUGCAACGCGAAGAACCUUACCUACUCUUGACAUCCAGAGAAUUUGCUAGAGAUAGCUUAGUGCCUUCGGGAACUCUGAGACAGGUGCUGCAUGGCUGUCGUCAGCUCGUGUUGUGAAAUGUUGGGUUAGGUCCCGCAACGAGCGCAACCCUUAUCCUUUGUUGCCAGCACGUAAUGGUGGGAACUCAAAGGAGACUGCCGGUGAUAAACCGGAGGAAGGUGGGGAUGACGUCAAGUCAUCAUGGCCCUUACGAGUAGGGCUACACACGUGCUACAAUGGCAUAUACAAAGAGAAGCGAACUCGCGAGAGCAAGCGGACCUCAUAAAGUAUGUCGUAGUCCGGAUUGGAGUCUGCAACUCGACUCCAUGAAGUCGGAAUCGCUAGUAAUCGUAGAUCAGAAUGCUACGGUGAAUACGUUCCCGGGCCUUGUACACACCGCCCGUCACACCAUGGGAGUGGGUUGCAAAAGAAGUAGGUAGCUUAACCUUCGGGAGGGCGCUUACCACUUUGUGAUUCAUGACUGGGGUGAAGUCGUAACAAGGUAACC
rnacentral:rRNA from 1 species